rnacentral:rRNA from 1 species
CUGGAGGUAUCAGAAGUGCGAAUGCUGACAUAAGUAACGAUAAAGCGGGUGAAAAGCCCGCUCGCCGGAAGACCAAGGGUUCCUGUCCAACGUUAAUCGGGGCAGGGUGAGUCGACCCCUAAGGCGAGGCCGAAAGGCGUAGUCGAUGGGAAACAGGUUAAUAUUCCUGUACUUGGUGUUACUGCGAAGGGGGGACGGAGAAGGCUAUGUUGGCCGGGCGACGGUUGUCCCGGUUUAAGCGUGUAGGCUGGUUUUCCAGGCAAAUCCGGAAAAUCAAGGCUGAGGCGUGAUGACGAGGCACUACGGUGCUGAAGCAACAAAUGCCCUGCUUCCAGGAAAAGCCUCUAAGCAUCAGGUAACAUCAAAUCGUACCCCAAACCGACACAGGUGGUCAGGUAGAGAAUACCAAGGCGCUUGAGAGAACUCGGGUGAAGGAACUAGGCAAAAUGGUGCCGUAACUUCGGGAGAAGGCACGCUGAUAUGUAGGUGAAGCGACUUGCUCGUGGAGCUGAAAUCAGUCGAA